GACGAACGCUGGCGGCGUGCCUAAUACAUGCAAGUCGAACGCAGUGGGGACGGGUGAGUAACACGUGGGUAACCUCCCAUCAGAGGGGAUAACACUUGGAAACAGGUGCUAAACCGAUACUGAUGGAUGGACCCGCGGUGCAUUAGCUAGUUGGUUAGGUAACGGCUCACCAAGGCCACGGUGCAUAGCCGACCAGAGUGGGUGAUCUGGCAAACUGGAACUGAGACAGGGCCCAGACUCCUACGGGAGGCAGCAGUAGAGAAUCUGCGGAAAUGGACGAAAGUCUGACCGGGCAACGCCGCGUGAGUGAAGAAGGUUUUCGGAUCAUAAAACUCUGUUGUUAGAGAAGCGGUAUCUAACCGGAAAGCCACGGCUAACUACGUGCCAGCAGCCGCGGUAAUUC
rnacentral:rRNA from 1 species